rnacentral:rRNA from 1 species
GACGAACGCUGGCGGCGUGCUUAACACAUGCAAGUCGAACGGUGAUGCUCCAGCUUGCUGGAGUGGCUCAGUGGCGAACGGGUGAGUAACACGUGAGCAACCUGCCCCAGACUCUGGAAUAAGCGCUGGAAACGGCGUCUAAUACUGGAUACGAAACUGGCCCGCAUGGGCAUGGUUUGGAAAGUUUUUCGGUUUGGGAUGGGCUCGCGGCCUAUCAGCUUGUUGGUGAGGUAAUGGCUCACCCAGGCGACGACGGGUAGCCGGCCUGAGAGGGCGACCGGCCACACGGGGACUGAGAGACGGCGCAGACUCCUACGGGAGGCAGCAGUGGGGAAUAUUGCACAAUGGGCGAAAGCCUGAUGCAGCGACGCCGCGUGAGGGAUGACGGCCUUCGGGUUAUAAACCUCUUUCAGCAGGGAAGAAGCGAAAGUGACGGUACCUGCAGAAGAAGCACCGGCUAACUACGUG